CCCAUCAUAUGCAGUGGUUACUUGGGAAGACAAACACCAUCACUCCAAACAUCCCCUUCUUCCUUCUUCCCCCCCACUUUAUACACUGAACAUGAUGUCAUAUGACCUGGAAUAUCCCUUUGGUUGGCUUGGGUCACCUGUCCCAGCUGUGUCUCCUCCCAGCUCCCCAUGCACAUCAUCUGUGACCGUAUUAAUUAAUGGAUAGCGGUUUAUGUGAUCGGGAGGAAGAUGUGCUCUGAGCUCAGAACAAGUUGUUAGGACAUAGUAGAGUUGAUGCAAUAGCCCCAAAGAGGACAGCCCUGACUAGCUUUGCUUUUUUGUUUUUUCUUUUAUCUCUAUAUUGCAUCUUAGGAAGUAGAACAGUGUGUGAACAGUUUUAAAUUUUCCCUGUAUCUUGGUGGCUUGAACUUCUGCUUGAGGGGUAAGCCCAUCCUGCCUCUUGUUCAGACACUACGGUAGCUCAGUGACUCUACUUCCUUUCAUAGCUGCAGUUAGCUUGAAGCAGGCAGCAUACAGUUAAUAUUUAUGGCAUCUCAGCUAAGGAGAGACCUUUUUUCCUAGAAGUACCAAGGAUGUAUUAUGUUGUAGAGCUUCAGAAUACAUGUAAGUAAAAACAGUGGCUAGCAGCUUUCCUUCAGGGUAUUUCCAGGUCUCAGGUUUACUCAGAGAUGCUACAACUCAUGAACACAGGAGCAAUAGCAUUUCCUCCUCUCAUCUUUACAGUCAUUAUUCUCAAGAGUAAGGGCAAAGCAUGCCACUUGAUGUGCAUGUUUAUUCUCUUUUAAUUUAGGAUAAUAUUAACCAGUGCUUGAUGCAUUUGUUGAGACAAACUGAACAUUAGUCUUUAAAAGUGAGCUAGAAAGUAGUAGUAGUAGAAACAUUUGCUUCCUCAGCCCACUCUGAGAUUGCUUCCCAUAUUGAAAUCAGUUGAAAACAAGGAGUCUGAUUUCUGCUGGGCAUCAGGGGGCACAGUUAAAAUGUACAGCUUAUGUGGCCCCUCUGACAGACCACCUGGGUCCCUGUGGCAUUACAGCUGAAGCUAGAGCUCUGCUUGGCCCUGACAGUGUUUAUCAGAAGUUCCUAUUUCACCCUGAAGAAAGAUAAAAAGGUCACCAGGUCAUUAAGGUGAUUUUUUUUCUCCAAAAAGGUUGAUUUUGAAUUACUGCUCCAAAUCAGGUGACUUAGAUGUGUAAAUAUUUCUGGUUCAUUUCUGUUGCCAGAUCAUUUGAUCUUGCCCUAGGUUUUUUUUGGUUUUUUUUGUUUUUUUUUUUUCCUGGAGCACAGCAGUGGCUGUAGUAGGAGGGGAAUUUUGAACAGUCUCAUAAUUUUUUUUCUUUCUUUUUGAUUAAAUACUUUCCCUGAUGGGCUUUAAUUCUGCUAGCAAUUAUUAAAAUCCAUGCUCUUUCUUUCCCUUAUCUCACUGGCUACAUGCAUCAGGGGAGUGCUUCCUUUUCCUGCAUUGCCUGUGGUAACACACCCCAGUGCUGCUUCAUCUUGCCUUGAGAUUUCCUCUUUUGCACAUUCUUUCUCUGUUUAUCUAAUGUCCCCUGGAAGACGUGAAGAGAACAAGUCCUUAAGAAGGCAUUUUCUUUCUUUCUUUGAACACAUUGUUUCUAAUAUCCACAUGGUUUGUUUGUUUGUUUAUUUGUUUGUUUUCUGGUGUUUUUUCUUUCCUAAUAUGCAUAGCAUAACUAUUUCUUCUGUGCCAUGGAAUUGGAGGACUUGGACAAGCAUUGAAUUUGGAAAGAAAUUCAAGCUAUCUACUCUUAUCCAACCUCUCACUCCUAUGGAAGCACACUAAGACUGUACCAGCUGGAUCUGUACUUUCUAGGCGACGACCCUCGGGUCCCACAAUUGCCACAGUUUCCUCGGCAUCCUCAGCCAUGUGGCUGGAGAAAUAAACAUCUCUGAAAAUA